AUGCAUUAACACCACUGCAUCCAAAUGCUUCAUACAGGAAGAAGGGAUCAAAGAAAGGCUCGUCAUCAAAGUUAAAUGUCGUGUUAUUUGCAGGCCAUUCUUGUUCAAAUGGGUAUUCCAGUAGUUCUUCACCUCAUUAUCGGUUCGACCGGGAAGCCGGCCAGCAAUCAGUGACCAUCUGAAUGGAAGAAAUAUCCAAACAUUCAGUCAGUUUACUCUCUUUACAACUGUCUUCUUCUUCUUUGGACAUGCCCCCGCGCUUUAUAUUAGGCCUGAGGUUGGUGAUGAUGUAAUGUUCUCACAGGGCGUGUAAUGAUAGCCACUAUGAUUGGAUUCCUAUAUAUGACAGCAAAAU